rnacentral:rRNA from 1 species
AUGACGCCUCCUCCGCCUCCCACCACCGCGCUGCCACGCCCCUCCCUCCUCCUCGCGGUCUCCUCCGCCGCGCUCAAGAUCUCGGCCGCGGCGGCGACGAGCCCGGCGCGCGGCGUGCGGUGGCAGGGGGUCGGGGUCGACGGGAGGAGGGGGAGGAGCCGGGCCGUCGGGAGGUGCUGGGCGGCGGCGGUGGAGGAGGAAGCCGGCGCGCAGGAGGACGGCGUGCUGCUCCCCCAGGAGGGGAGCGAGGCGGCCGGGAGGUACGACUGGCGGGAGGAGUGGUACCCGCUGUACCUGUCCAAGGAGGUGCCCGACGACGCGGCGCUCCCGCUCACCGUCUUCGACCGCCAGCUCGUGCUCUACCGCGACGCCGACGGCGUGCUCCGCUGCCACGAGGACCGAUGCCCGCACAGGUUAGCCAAGCUGUCGGAAGGGCAGCUCGUCGACGGCAAGCUGGAGUGCCUCUACCAUGGCUGGCAGUUCGACGGCGAGGGCAAGUGCGUCAAGAUCCCACAGCUGCCUGAGGGCGCCAAGAUCCCGCGGAACGCGUGCGCGCGCAACUACGAGGUGCGGGACUCGCAGGGGGUGGUGUGGGUGUGGAUGUCGCCGGCGACCCCGCCGGACGCCAAGAAGCUGCCGUGGUUCGAGCCGUACGCGCGGCCGGGGUUCACGGACCUGUCGACGGUGCACGAGCUCCCCUACGACCACUCCAUCCUGCUGGAGAACCUAAUGGACCCGGCGCACGUGCCCAUCUCGCACGACCGCACCGACUGGACGGCCAAGCGGGAGGACGCGCAGCCGCUGGCCUUCGAGGUCGCCGAGCGCACCGCCCGGGGCUUCGCCGGCCACUGGUGGCGCGAGCGCGCGCCGCACCUCCGCAACCUGCUCCGCUUCGAGGCGCCCUGCGUGCUCACCAACACGCUCGAGUUCGUGGACAAGGACGGCAGGGAGCAGUGCUUCUCGGCGCAGUUCCUCUGCCGGCCGGCGGGGCAGGGCAAGUCGAUGCUGCUCGUCCGGUUCGGGUCGACGGCGAGGUCGCCGCUGCUGAGGGUGCUGCCCAAGUGGUACUUCCACCAGAACGCGUGCAAGGUGUUCGAGCAGGACAUGGGGUUCCUGUCGUCGCAGAACGAGGUGCUGCUCCGGGAGAAGGUGCCCACCAAGGAGCUCUACCUCAACCUCCGAUCGUCGGACACCUGGGUGGCCGAGUACCGGCGGUGGAUGGACAGGGCGGGGCACGGCAUGCCAUACUACUUCGGCCACAGCACCAUCUCGCCGCCGCCCGUGCCGGCCGUGGUCGAGCAGGCGCCGGCGGGGGCCGCCGCGGGCAUCUCCGCGUCCUUCCCGGCCAAGGGCGGCUUCGGCACGCAGCACGCGCCCAACCCGACCAGCAGGUACUUCCGGCACGUCGUGCACUGCAAGGGGUGCAGGGACACCGUCAACAGGUACACCGCCCUGAAGAAGGCCUUCGUCGUGCUCGCCGCCGUGGCCGCCGCCGCGGCCGUCUUGGCGGCGACGAGGCAGUGGAAGGCCAUCUUGCUGGGCGCCGCCGCCGUGCUCGCCGCGGCGUCGUAUGCGUGCGGUUCCGUGGUUUCUUUGAUCACAACCAACUUCAUUAGGACACACAGAAGAUUGUAA